rnacentral:rRNA from 1 species
AUUGAACGCUGGCGGCAGGCCUAACACAUGCAAGUCGAACGAGUGGCGGACGGGUGAGUACUGUCUGGGAAACUGCCUGAUGGAGGGGGGUAACUACUGGAAACGGUAGCUAAUACCGCAUACCAUCAGAUGUGCCCAGAUGGGAUUAGCUAGUGGGUGGGGUAACGGCUCACCACGGCGACGAUCCCUAGCUGGUCUGCGAGGAUGACCAGACACACUGGAACUGAGACACGGGCCAGACUCCUAAGGGAGGCAGCAGAGGGGAAUAGUGCACAAUGGGCGCAAGCAUGAUGCAGCCAUGCCGAGUGUAUGAAGAAGGCCUUCGGGUUGUAAAGUACUUUCAGCGGGGAGUCGUUACCCGCAGAAGAAGCACCGGCUAACUCCGUGCCAGCAGCCGCGGUAAUAC